GAAGUGGACAUUUAUGUAGCGAACACAAACAAGCGGAGUGAUGCGCACAAUGAAAUGUCCCAGUGCAUUUAACUAACUAUAAGCACUUUUGGAACGCUGUUUGACCAAUCAAAUUGAUGGACCGAAACUAACUGUUGUAUAAUUAUGUGUAUAUGGAUAUCACAGUGAAGCGUACCGUAUAAUAGUUUUUGUGACAUGUUACACUUGAUGAUGUGGCUACAAGAUCACACUUCAGUGACUUCAUAUAUGCAGAAACAACUGAAAACCUCCAGCAAGCUCAGUGGUUGGUGACACAGUUCACACUGCAAUAUAGCUUAUAACUAAAGAAUUAAUUCAAGUUUUUCUUAAAUCGAACUCAACAUCUACUUCACUUCAUAGCUGAAACUGGGUGAACAAAAAUCUUUGCAUUUUGAAUUUGAGCCUCAUAUCCAUCUUUAAUCCAGUACGGUUGAGUAUUCCACAAUUUCACAGAUCCAGGACAUGUAGACUACACCAGGUGUACACCAUCAAAUAAUAUGGAAGGAUAAUCCAGAAAGUGUUGCAAAAGUGUUGAGUCUAUAGAUUUGAAAAUGUACAGCAGAAAACGUCUUUGAACUUAAGUGUGAAUUGACAGAUGUUAAAAAAAAAAAAAAAAAGAAGAAGAUGAAAAAAGAUGUAGCUUAAUAUUAACACAUUUUAUUUACUGAACGAGUCCUGCCGGGGCCAUGUGUGUGUGGAGUUUGCAUGUUCUCCCCGUGCUGUGGGGGUUUCCUCUGGGUACUCCGGUUUCCUCCCCCAGUCCAAAGACAUGUAUGGUAGGCUGAUUGGCGUGUCUAAAGUGUCCGUAGUGUAUGAAUGGGUGUGUGAGCGUGUAUGUGAUUGUGCCCUGCGAUGGACUGGCACCCUGUCCAGGGUGUACCCCGCCUUGUGCCCGAUGCUUCCUGGGAUAGGCUCCAGGUUCCCCGUGACCCUGAAAAGGAGUAAGCAGUAGAAGAUGGAUGGAUGAAUGGAUUUACCAAAUGAAUGUAUUUCUGUUAAAGCAUGCUCUGAGCGAGAGCAUACUGUAUAUUGUAACUUAAAUGAUAAUGUGUGCAGAAUUGAAAGCUUGUUGGCUUGAAGAUGUGAACAGAGUAACCAGAUACAGCGUAUCACUUGACAGGGUGACAAUCUUAAAUCACUAGUUCCGAACCCAGUUAAUAAGGACGUUCCUUGUAAAUAGUAGAUUUUAGGGAAUUAAACAGGGUAUCGUUGCUAAGUACAGUGUGCAGAUCGUUGUGUUCGUUUUGCGUGCCAAAGCAAACUUUGCAUGUGACACUUACAAAGCCCAGACACUAAAAGUUCAAUUGAAUCUCCAGUCAGAAAUUUGGUGAUGAAUAAUGAAUGUUAUAAUAUUGUUUGAGUUCUUAAAUGUGAUUAAUUAAUGUUGAGUUGGACUGUUAUGUUGAUAUCGUACAUUCGAUAAUACUUUAGUACUUUCAUUUUUUUUUCACUUUCCACCAAUGCAUGGUAUUCAUAUGUUUAGCAAUGCAGAAACUGCACAGUACUUUUCUUCUGCAAGCACAAACUUUUUUCAGUAACACUGUCUACACCUAUGAUGAUCUGUACAUGCAUUCAUAACAUUAUAUAUAGUCUGCUCUGAAACUAUUGAACAGAAAGGCCAAUUCAAUUGUUUGUGCUAUACACCAAAGACUUUUGGGUUUGAGAUCAGAAGAUGGAUAUGAGAUGAGAGUAUUUACAUCUAGAUGUGUUAAACAACAUGAAAACAUAGAACAGUUUGUAUCAGACCACGGGACUUUUUGGCGAGCAAAACUAUAGGAACAGAUAAGUCUUGAAGUAAAUUAAAGUUAAUAACACUUAAUAUUUGGUUGCAUAUCCCUUGCUUUCAUUAACUGCAUCAAGCCUGUGACUCAGUGAUAUCACCGAAUUGUUGGUUUCUUCUUUCGUGAUGCUUUUCCAGGCUUUUACUGCAACCUCUUUCAGUUGUCGCUUGUUUUGUGGGUUUUCUCCCUUCAGGUGAAAUACAUCCUCAGUUGGGUUAAGAUCUGGUAAUUGAUUUAGCCAGUCUAAAACCUUCAACUUACUUUUCCCCCUUGAUGACCUUUGUUGAGUUGUACUGGCUAUGCUCAGAGUUUACUCAGUGGCUCUGACUGAUUUUCCCGCUUUUCUUGGCUUCAAAAUGGCUUGCUUUUCUCCCACAGACAGCUCUUUGAUCUUCAUGUUGGUUUAUCCUUUUUUAAACAACAAAUGCAGUCUUCACAGGUGAAAAUGCAGCCUUAAACCAAAAGUAGAUGUUCGGAGCUAUUUAUUGUUUAAACAAUCAAUCUAACAUGACACACCUGAGCAACAAAAAACACCUAUCAGUCACAUGUUCCAAUAUUUGUGCUCACCUACACACUGGGUAGUCUGAUACAAAAUGUACUACGUUUUAUGUUGUUUAACACAUCUACAUACAAAUACCAGGAAAUAUAAGCUGGAAUUCUAAACGCUU
ensembl:lncRNA